UGGGGAAUAUUGGACAAUGGGCGAAAGCCUGAUCCAGCCAUGCCGCGUGUGUGAAGAAGGUCUUCGGAUUGUAAAGCACUUUAAGUUGGGAGGAAGGGCAGUAAGCGAAUACCUUGCUGUUUUGACGUUACCGACAAAAUAAGCACCGGCUAACUCUGUGCCAGCAGCCGCGGUAAUACAGAGGGUGCAAGCGUUAAUCGGAAUUACUGGGCGUAAAGCGCGCGUAGGUGGUUCGUUAAGUUGAAUGUGAAAGCCCCGGGCUCAACCUGGGAACUGCAUCCAAAACUGGCGAGCUAGAGUAGGGCAGAGGGUGGUGGAAUUUCCUGUGUAGCGGUGAAAUGCGUAGAUAUAGGAAGGAACACCAGUGGCGAAGGCGACCACCUGGGCUCAUACUGACACUGAGGUGCGAAAGCGUGGGGAGCAAACAGG
rnacentral:rRNA from 1 species